UAACGCUGCCACUCUCCCUCUGCCCAGCUCAGCCCGCGGCCCGGGACGCUGAGAGCCGGCUGCGUCGCCCUGCGGCGGUUCAUCCACGGCACCAGCGUGGUGCACCCGGAGGUGAGGCUGGGCCGGGCCGGUCCCACGCGCGCACGGCCCCUAGGAGCGGGACCCGCCGGAGCGGGACACCGCGACGGAGCCGGCGCCGGGGCCGUGCCGCCCCCCCCAACCCACGCGCCCUGCCCUCGUGUCGCAGCUCGCCUUCCACUACUGCUUCUGCGUGGACGGCGCCGUGUCCUCGCACGCCUACGGGUGAGCGGUGUCACGGCCCCAAACCGAGCCGGGGCCCCGCUCCGUGCUCCCCGCGCCGCCGCUUCCCUCCCUGCCGCUCCCCCGCGCCCUGCUCCCGUUACGGGACCGGAGGUGGGGGGGACGCGGGCUCCUCUCCCCCGGCGUCUCCCCGCUGCGGCGAUAUUUAUAACGGCCCCGUUUCGCUCUGCGCCCCACCGGGACCAUCUUGCCCCCCCUCGACCCCCGCUGUCCGCAGCCCAGCGAGGCGGGAGAGCAUCUGCGAGCUGGGGGCAGCGCGGCUGCUGGCCCAGAGCCGGCACUUCGCACGGUAAGUGCCGAGCCGCCGUGGCCAAAACCCCCCCUGCCCUGCGCAGGGAGAGGCCGGCGGGAGGAAAACGGGGUGGUGGACGAGGCCGGAGGCGCCCCGAGCGCCGCAGCGCGUCCGCCGCCCUCCGUGGGCCGCGCUGGGGACGUUCCCCCAUCCCCAAAGCGCCCCGCGCUCGCAGGGAAAUCACUGGGCGUAUGAAGCCCCCRCCGCCGCCGCCGCCGCCAGGGAGGUUUUCCCCUGGCUCCGGCCGCGUCCGGCGCCUCUUCCCCUCCGCAGGCCGGCGAGCGCCGGGGACGUGCCGCUCUGCAGCAAAAUCCACCCAGUGGCGGGAGCCCCCAUCGGCCUCCGGAUCCCACCGGCCGCCGCCGCCGCCGGCGUCGGUGGGGAGCUGAGCGUGGUGCCGGCGGCGGCGCUGUGCCCCUGCCUCAAGCAGUACCCCAACCUGCCGUCCCGCCUCGCCUCCGUCGCCAUAUCCUCCGGCAGCGGGUCCCGGGCACAGCCGGGAGGCUGCGGAGAAACCGGAGCCGGGACGGGGGCCGGGAGGUGCCGUUCGUUUGUUGCCUUAACYGGCGGCACUUGUUCUGCUACGACCCGGCCGGGCUGCCGGCGGCGCCGAGCCGGUCCCGGCUCUUCCGGGACCCAUCGUGGCUGGCGGACUGGGGCAGGUUCGGCUGCUCGGCAGCGCCGGCGGCGGUGCCGGCGGGCGAGGAAGGUGCGGGGGCCACGGGGGGCUGCGGGGGUCUCACGGCGGGACCCCCCCAGCCCGCUCAGCGCCGCCGCCGCUUCCCCGCAGACGUGGUGACGCCC
rnacentral:lncRNA from 1 species